AUUUUAAUGGAAACACACCAAUAUCAAACCAAACCAGUGGACGUGCACAGCAAUAUAUGAUUUAGUGGGGACCAAAGCAGGAACCACCAACCAGCAGACUGAUUGACUUUUCUAUCUACAACCUUUUUACGGCCUCUGCUCUGUUUACAACAUGGAGCCGCGACAAACAUCAACCGAAGGCAAGAACAAACAGAGGGCACAUGCACUUAAACGCUUCAGCAGCAGUUUCAGUCUGACUGGGAAACUCCAUCAAGCCUCUGUGAACUACAAUCAAUCAGCGAUACCAAGGCUGACAGCAUUUUUCAUUUGACCGAGUAAACAUGGCACAUUUAUUGCAAAAGUGACAUUUAAAGGCACUUUGAGUUCUGUAUGUGGAACUGCAUU